GUUUGGACAGUUAGUGAUAUGGUGAUUUAGUAGUGUGUGUGACUUGACGAAAUGAUAAUCCAUAGAGGUGAAUAUGUAUUGUCCCAGAGAGUAAAAUAUCCUUUGAAAUUGGUAGAGAGAUGUACGAAUAGAAGACCAAUCAAAUAAUAAUUCACUUUGGAUGAGGUAGCGAGGAUGAGAGAAUUUAGAGCGAGUAUGGAAAGUAAAAAAGAGAAAAAAUGGAUGUUGGUUUGAUUGUUAUGAAAGAAAUUUUGUUCCCCCUGUAGAUUGAUCCCCUAAAAAUUAGGAUAGUUGAUAAGGGUUUAUAGGUUGAUUCUCAAAAUAUUUGGAUUGUAGGUGAUGUGUAUGAGCUGAAAUCACUGAAAAGAGAGUAUUUUGUGAGAAUGGAGUUGAAAGUGUAUGAGGUGGAGAUUCCCAUUGCCCAGGCAAUUCUUAAUCCUUGGAUGCCCCUUGUGUGAGCUGGUAGCAUGUUGGAGAUAAGAAUGUAAAUGAAGGAGUAGGUAUUGGUGCAGUUGACACGCUAUGUAUGGCAGAGUAGGAGGAGACCUGAGUUGAGCAGAAAUGUGGAUGAUUUAGAAUAAUUGUUUGCGAGUUAAUCGUAGGUGCCCUAUGAAAAGAGGGAAGUCUGACUCA